AUAUAAAUCAUGCUAACAGGAGCAGAUGAUGAACUUGAUUGCAAUGAAGAACUGAAGUUCCACAACGAGAUGAAGUCGACGAAGGAAGGUAGGAAGGACAAGGAUACGAUCAUCAGUCUUGUAUUUAGCUUGAUCGAAAAUAACUGUUCUCUUCAAAUUCUUUCCCUNUCUCUACUCUGUAGCUUACACAUCAUUGAUUCAUAUUAUUUUCCCUUAGGAACUUGAGAGACAUUUGGCAUCUAAAGAAGCUUCUCUCCCGCAAGAACCAUCACCAGAUGAUGAUAAUGCCGUUAACCUGCUUGUGCGGAUGCCGGAUGGCGGCCGGCAAGGCCGCAGAUUCCUCAAGUCCCACAAGCUUCAGGUAUUUAUUCCGUGACAAUAUUUUUCCAGUUAUUGGUUAAAAGUUGUAUAAUUGGUUGUUACUUGAUUUGCAGCAUCUUUUUGACUUCAUCGAUGUUGGUCGGUUGGUCAGACCUGGUACUUACAGACUGGUAAUCCUUCAUGUGCUUUUUUACCUUUCACACUUAAUUCUUGUGGGGGCACACUUAUAUUUUUACAAAGUUUUAAAUGACGAAUAAAUUCCAAAUAAUUUUUAUGGGGGACAGUCCCCCUUGCUAGAUCCCCUCCUGGUGUCCAAACUUUUUUUACAUUUCAUAAUUGAUUGUCUGGACCGGCAAAGAGCAAUGAAUAUUCAUUUUAGUCACAUAGGAGUGUCGGGGUUUGUAUUGUUGUUAUGCUUGAUAGUAUAUAGAGAGCUUAUUGACUAGUUGACUCAACAUCGUUUCUUUUUCCUUUCCCCCAUCUUCUCUGGUGAUUAAUGUUUGCGUGAUCCCACUAGUCCUUCCGCAAAAAAAAAAAGAAGUUAUAUUGUAUUUUUAAAAUGAAUUGCAUUUCAAACUAUUUGUUUGAUAAGUAGGGUACUCGUGUAAUUUAAUUGUAAUAUCGAUACCUUUUUUUGUAACACCAAAGAAAAAUUAGAAUCUUUAUAGUGUCAGGACUCUUGAUACUUGGUAGAUGCUUGAGAAGAAGGCUGUAUUUGAAGAUAUGGAGAAUGUGGUAACCAUAUGACUAAGGUCAACUAACUUUUGCUUGCUAAAGUGGAACUCUGUCAAAAAUUUAUCUGUAUCUAUCUCUUUUUUGUAGUCAUCAGUAGAUUUACUCUUCCAUAUGUAUCAGGGUCAAGUUGUUGAAAUAUAUCAGUCCUUAAUAGGUGUUAGCACAAUUUAGAUGAGCAAAAUAUUUAAGGAACGUAUGUACUUCAACUUGGCAUGCAAAACGAGUUAUACAAAUGGUAGAUUAGCUAGUUGGUAAUUUAAUGAGAAUCCUUUCCAUUGGACUUGAUUCAUUGAUAGAGAAGCAAAGCACAAUGUUACUUCCUGAUACAUAAUGUAUUUAUGCCUCGUAUAGAUAUAUUAUGAUUGUUAGAAUUAAACAUGUUUUAUUUUGCACAGGCAAGGCCGUAUCCAAGACGGGCUUUUGGUGUUGGUGAGAGCUCAACAACUUUUGAUGAACUUGGCCUGUCUGGCAGACAGGAGGCCUUGUUUCUGGAGUUAAUAUAGCAGAUAUAGUUAUCGUAAAAUUGUAAUAGGAUCUCGAAGAGUUUACCCAGAUGGACCAACUUUGUUUGUUAGUUGUAAAAGUUGUUUAGAGAUGGAUAUUUUGUCAAAGUUUGUAUCUAUUGGGUAUUUGGUCUUUUAGUCAGACUGUGGCUCAUACAGUUUGAAGUUGAUAUCAAAUCUUAGAUGAGAAUGUUUGCAGUUUGAAAUUACUGAACAUUGUUUCUUGAAUUCGAUAUCGAAUUUUAAACGAGAAUAUGUCCAGUUCCACUACAAGAGAAAGCGAUUCUACCAAUGGAAUUUGCUAAGGGAAAUUAGUCCGUUGGUAGUUCCCAACGGAUUUGUAAUGAUUUGACUAGUCAAUGUUCUGCCAACCAAGUCGCAACGAAAUACCCACGUUUAUUUACCAACGAAACGUUCCGUUAAGAAAUAUAACCACAUAAUGGAAUAGUAACAAAAGGCCAAGGAAUGAGCAACAGACUAGUAACGAAAAUAUCUGUUAUUACGUUCAUUGAUAUUCCGUUGAUAAAUACUAACAAUUCCGUUAGUAAUUGAUUAUUAGUUUUAUAACAUGGACAAUUGAUAUACACUACAUGAGCAGUCUCUUAUUUGACAUUUGUGUCAUGCUAAAGCCCAAUGGGCUUUAGUCGAUUAAAUUGAUUUGGGUUGUAGAAAACGGCCAAUAAUAUAAUGGACUUUGAUAUGUAUCGUAAAUAUUAAGUAAUUUUCUUGGAUUUAUGUAUAUAACAUAAUUGUUAAUUGGCUCAUCCUUAACUAGAAAUUUUAUAUUACAUUCUUAACUAGAAAUUUUAUAUUUAAAAAAAAUUAAUCUUUUAUGUGGUAUGUGGAUUUUGUAGUCAAAUGCGGUCAAUUUACUUAGCCUUUGAUCGGAUACCUACCCAAAACAUAAAAAUAUUUUUUAUUUUCGAUGAUCCAGCUAUACGGAUAUUAUUGUAAUGUGAUAAUAUUGAUUAAAUUUUUUUUUAAAAAAGUAGCAUUUUAUUUGGUAUGUGAAUUUUGUAGUCAAAUGCAAUUAAAUUACUUAGUCUCUAAUGGAAUACUUGCCCGAAACAUAAAACUAUUUUCUUAAAACACAAUUUGGACGAUCCAACCAUACAGAUGUUAUUAUAACGUGUUAAUAUUGGUUAAAAUAAUUUUUAAGAAUAUAUGUCUUUUAUUUGGUGUGUGGAUCUUGCAGUCAAAUGCGGUCAAAUUACUUAGCCUUCAAUCGAAUACUUACCCAAAACAUGAAACUGUUUUUUUAAAAAUCAUUUCGGACGAUCCAACCGUACGGAUAUUAUUGUAAUGUGAUAAUAUUGAUUAAAUUUGUUUUUGAAAAAUUUUAGCUUUUGAUUUGGUGCGUGGAUUUUGUAGUCAAAUGCGGUCAAACUACUUGGCCUUUAAUGAAAUACUUACACGAAACAUGAAAUUAUUUUUUUUUAAAACCAUUUUGGAUGAUCCAACCGUGCGGAUGUUAUUAUAACGUGUUAUAUUGAUUAAAAUAUUAUUUAAAAAAUAGCCUUUUAUUUGGUGUGUGGAUUUUGUAGUCAAAUGCUCAAAUUACUUAGCCUUUAAUCGAAUACUUACCUUAAACAUGAAACUAUUUUUAAAAAAAUUAUUUUGGAUGAUUCAAACUGUAGGGAUGUUAUUUUAACAUCUUAAUAUUGAUUAAAAUUAUUUUAAAACAAUUUAGUUUUUUUUUAUGUGUGAAUAUUUUAGUCAAGUACGAUAAAUUAUUUAUUUAGCCUUCAAUGAAAAAUUAAAAAUCCCGCACAGCCAAAAGUUUUCCCUCGUUUUGUGAAUCUUCCCCAGCCAUUUCCCCCCAACCCCAACCCCGAAAUUCACAAAACUCUCCCCCCAAAUUAGCUCGGCCUCUCCCAAAUCUCUAUCUCUCUUUGUAUAUCUUUAGGUGUGUUUUGUAGAGGCGGCCACCUCCAAAGCUUCAAAAUAAUCAAACUUAUCACCGCCGCUGUUCGAGAAUGAAUUUCUUUUAGGAGAUUCGUCGAUUUAGUUAUCAAAUUAGUUACCAUUAGGGUUCUACUCCGAUUUUCAAUAGUAUGAUGUUGGGGUUCGAUUGGUCGAUUGUCAUGUUUUAUAAGUUAUGUGGGUUCGAUUUUGAUGUUUUUACAAUUAGGUUUAUGUAUGUUUUUAUACGGGUUUCAUGUUCAUGUUUCGAUUUGUUGAUUUCCUAUUUUUCCUAUAUGUUAAUUUGUUAUUUGUGUGGAUUUUGGAUUUUGAUGUGUGUGUGUGUAAUGCCCUGUUUUUUUUUCAUUUUUUCAGGUUCGAACACUUCGAUUAGUAGCCGGAAAAACAACUGAUGCGGCAGUAGCGGCUAGCAAGGAGAUGAAUAACAAGAAAAGGCCGAUUUCGAGGUCAUCUCGUGCAAGUCUUCAGGUAUAGUUUUAUUCCUUUAUAUUUUUAAUCGACAUAAAUCUAACAAGUAAUUAUAGUUCUAACAAGUAAUUAUAGUUCUGAAUGGGGAGCUUAUUGUGAAAUUGAAUUGAGGGACAAGUUGUGUUAUUGGUUCCAGUAGAUAAAUUUAUGUUGACACUUGAUAUAUGCAUUUUUCCACUAUGAUGCUCCCUUUGGUUUGCUUAAGGUCAAGUACCGUUACUUAAUGCAUUUACAAGUAUUCCAGAACAAGUUUGUGCGCCAUAGUGCUACCUUAAUCUAUGAAUUUGAUGCCAGGCACUUUAGGUGUUAUCUCUUAUUGAUUUUUUAUUGGAGAGUUUGGGUGUUUUCUGGAAGAAGUAUAUAGUGAGAGCAGAGGUUUUCAUUUUCGUCAUGAUUUACUCUAAUGUUUCUAAUGUUCACCUGUUAACUGCUGUAGAUUUGGGCUUUAUCUAUUUCUACAUAAUUUAUUUUUGUCUUUGUUGCUGCUUCUUGAUAAUUUUCAAUAAUUGAAACUUUUGUUACAAAUAUAUGCUUGCUAGUCAAUUGUAUGUAGAAAUCUCUAACAAAACUUUAACUUUUACCUUUGAAAUUUAGUUACGAAUUUAAAGAAUUUGACUAGAACUUCAGUCGGUGGAUUCUUGACAUUUUUAUGUAAAUCAUAUAGUAUUCAGGAGUUACCCUGUAAAAUGCCCACAAAUCUUAAAUUAAUUAGAAGUCAAGUAAUAAGCUUAAGGCCUCUGAGACUGUGUCUGCAUUCUAGAUUUCAAUACAUUCUAUAUCAUAAUGUUGUUAAACUGCUUUUUAGCAAGUGCUUGAGUUUUUGGUAUCUACAUAUAAGAUUAUCUAAGAUAUCAAUUUAUUCAUGAGAGCAGGUUGAUGACAAGUACCGAUACAUGUGUGAAAAAAAAAAAGAUAACAUGGUCCAUGGAGUUGGUUCUUUGCAAUCUCUCUUUUAUAAGCCGGAGAUUCCUUGCAGUCCAUCCUUUGCUGAUGCAGAAAAUCAGAAGUUGCACGAAGAACUAAAUGUGAUGAAGGAUAAGAUGAAAGCAAUGGAGAAUCAAAUAGCUAUGGUUGUGUUAGUACUAGCUAGUUUUCAAGCCUCGUUAGUAAUUGAUGGCUCCUUUUAGAUAUAAUACUUGAACACUAUUGUAUCGGGUAACUCUUAUCUCAUUUUGAAGAUCGUAAAGAAACGUUUAUUAUGUAAAAAGAGUACACUUUUGUUAUUUCUUUAUUUGCAUUUUUAUAGACAUAAAAAUGAACAAUUCUAGAAAAUGAAAAAUUUGCACUGUAUUUGAGCAUGCAUACCAACAGAAUAUGUUUAUAUCUACUAACGGAAAUUUAACAACCGAAAGAGUCUUUUAGUUCUUUGUUGUUAAAUUUAACAAUUUUGACUAUACUUAACAUCAGAUUUUCCGUUGGGAAUAUGUUGCUAGAAUUGCCAACCGAAUAUUCUGUUGGCGGGAUGGUGUUUCUUUUGUUAUUUUGCAAAAUAGAGGUCUGUUACGAGAUUGUUACUACUCGGUUGCUAACUUAGCAACGGACACCUAAUUCGGUUGGCGAGGUGCUUCCCAACGACGUUUACUCUAACGGUCCAGUUCAGUGGGCAUUCCGUUAGGAAUCUCUUUUACCAACGGAUUUUCUUGAUUUGCCAACAUAAUAUUUCGUUGGGAAUAAUGAAAUUUCUUGUAGUGUUCUAACUUGAAAGUUAUGCAAAUUACGUUAAUAAUAUCAUCAAUUUUGAGUCUCUUGGUCUUCGGUCUUCUAUUGCAGCAUAUCAUACACUUCUCAAGUGAUUGAAAAUGAACUCUCUCCAAAAGGCAAGGGGUCUGUCGAAGUAGACCUGGAAUUGAUUUUACUUGAAGAAACAAUAAUAGUUCACCUUUUAAAGUUUUGGUCUUUGUCUUUUGUCUCUCAAAGUCUUGAUCUUUGUCGUUUACAUCUCAUACAAUUUGCUAUCGUAUUGAACACUUCACACAAUUUCAUACUAUCGUAUUGAACACUUCACACUUCACACAAUUCCAUAAUAUUGAAGAUUUUUGGCUUGAAAUAUUCUAGAGAAUAAGAUUGUACAUAAAAUCCAACAAUUUAUUUCCUUUUCUACAAUAUUACAACUCAUAUAUUUGUUGCCAAUGACUCAUUCAAUUCGCAUCAAUUACUAUCAUCUUCACUUUAUCAAAGAGUCUUGCUCUUUGUCCUCUACAUGCUUUUAUCACGGUCCCCAUGUUAGUGUGAUUUGAAAAUACUUGUGUUACAGUCCACAUAUUGAUAAAUAGACAAAUUAUAAUAUUUAGUUCAUUAAUGAAUAGAUAAGACGUUCAUGUGUAUGUAUUUGAAAAAUAAAAUAUUAUGAAGCUAAAUGAAUAAACACUUCUGAAGAGUAAAACGCGUUUCUGGUCCAUUUUGUAGCUUGAAGAAAUGAAGCAGAAGUCAAGAUUUUCUUGAAGAAACGAAAUUUUAUAAAAGUUAAAAACAAUUCGAUAAUUAUUGUCUUUUCAAAAAACGGGGCACGCAACACUCUUUUAUAUCAUCUUUCAAUUCUUAGAGUCUUCCUUCUGCUACUCCAAAAGUGGUUCUAUUAUAGGUCACAUAUUAAUAGAUCGAUACAAAUUUAUUAAAAAGAUCCUUAUUUUCAACGAUCAAUAUCAGUUUGACUAUAAAUUUAUCUGAAAUGACCCUUGUUAAUGGACUCUAGCUUAUAGGGUCAAACUUGGCUAUACAUGCCUCGGAGAAAAUUCAUCAGUUCGUAGAAGAGACCUUUCUGCAUCAACUCUAUGAAAAAUGCAGCACUUAUCAUCUAAAUAAAAAUUAGUAAGACUAUCUUAGAUUCUCUGAAGUGUUUAUAUUGCAGCCGCUUGUAUUGAAUACACACAUAAAUAACCACACAUAAUCAGGAAGGUUCGAAAUUUUUUGGUUUAACCAUAUCACCAACAUGAAGAAAAGACUUUCAAGCGUCAUAAUAGCUAAGAGCAUCUCCAACGGCAUUGGCUAUAAUCGUUGGCUAAAUUAGACAUGUAAGACAUUAUGUAAAAUUUGCUGAACCUGUAAGACAUUUUGCUUCAAUGGUAUUGGCUAUAUUAAUUAGUUGGCUAUAAUUUAAAAAUAGUAUGUUAUUAAUAUUUUAAAUUGUUAAAAUAGAAUAUAUCAGUUCAAUAUGGUAAUAAAUGAUUUACAAUCUUCCUACAGAUUUUCUUACAAACCUGUAGAGGUUCAACAAAUUUAGUCAUCCAUAGGAGGUUGGCUAAAUUUAUAGACAACAGCUGAGCAUGGUUGGAGGUGAGUUUUUGGAGCUGUUACCUAAAUUUUUUUAUUUUAAGUAUGUUAACUCACAUUUUAGCCAAGGGUUUUAGAUGGUUGGAGAUGCUUUGAGAGUUUUUUAUAUUCAGGAUAGCCCCGGUCUAGAUUAUUAUAAAAAACUUGUUUAUAUGGAGACAUAAUAAAGGUCCCAGAAUUUUUUACUCUUCAAGAUUUCCGUUUCUAGCCAAAUUUUUUGACCAUAAAUAAUAUAUUGGUUUUACCUGAAAACAAAAUUUAAAGAAAAUUCAAACUUUUUUAUUAGAGUACUUCUUUUCUUUUAUUAUUACUUCUUUUCUUUUAUUUUGAAAUUGCAAAACAGCUCAAAGUAGUUCUAAAAGAAUCAUUCUCCCCGCUAGGAUCAGUUACAAUUAAGAUUGACAAGAUGUUUUAGCUGCGAGUUCUUCAAAUUAUUGCUCGUAAGGUCCAUGACAGCUUAGAUAGUCACCAAAGCUUUGGCCUGUGGAUUAAGUUGAUGAAAUCUAGUGCAUUAAAAUCAAUGACAGCACUAUUUUAUGGGAUUGAUGCUCGCUCUUAAUAUUAUGCGUUUUUCUAAUGUGUGUGCCCAAAGACACACAAUAAACACUAAAUUUGAUAAAAAAAAUCGUAAUAUUAGUCAUUCCGCUCAUAAAUUUCAACCAGAGAAGAAAGAGCAUCGUGACUGUCAUUGUAUCCUUAAAAUUUGUUCGAUUAGGUUUUUUACAUAGUUUGCGCGUGGUCAUCAGGGUAGGCCUUCAUUAUAUUAAGCCAAUCUAGCUAGUAAUUCCAUAUUAAACAAGUUUAAAAUUUUCAAAUUUUGAUCUUAAUAAAUUUGUAAAAAUAGUAAACUUUUUCUUAUUUAUGAUAUUCACAAAUCUCUUACUUUUUUAUUACUGUAUUCAACUAAAUAUUUUUUAUAAACACUCAUAAAUGCAUCACAUCAGUUAUGAAAUUUAAAACAAAUAGUUUAUAGCCCGUGUAAGGCACGGGAGUUUUUUAAUUAUUUAUAAAUUUCUUAAAUAUAUUUUAAAUGGUGUGAAAAAAUUUAAUUUAUAAAUAAUAAAUUAAAAUUUUCAAUAAAAUAAAAUUCGAAAUUAUAAUUUGUUUGUAAGUUAGAACUGUGGUAAAUACAUCAUCAAGCCCAUUAAUGGUUUCAAAUAAACUAUUGUAAUGAAGCCAUUCUUUUUCUCGUAUGUACCGUGGCAAAGAAUUAAAUUCUGUUUAUCAAAUUUUAAUAUAUUUUGAGUGGAAUACGUUAUUGCCAACUCUUAUUAGAUUAUAUUUAUAAAUGUAUUUUAUAUUAGAAUUAUUAUAGUGUGAUUUAAAUAGUCCGCAAGGGUUAGUUUAGCUGGUUAAAAAGAGGACAUGUAUCCUCUUGGUCACAGGUUCGACUCUCAAAGGGUGGAUUAACGCUAUUGCGUGAUCCACUCCCAAAGGGUGGAUUAACCCUCCAAAGGGUAGCUGUUGCGGGUUCCUAGAUUACAAAAAAAUAAAAAAAUAUAUAAUGUGAUUUAAAUAUUUUUCAAAAAAUUUAUAUGGUUCCAAAUUAAAAUUGAUAAACAUAAUUUGUUGUGAUUUAAAUAUUUUUCAAAAAAUUUAUAUGGUUUCAAAUUAAAAUUGAUAAACAUAAUUUGUUUUUGAAUUAAGAAAAGGAAUCAUAAACAUGCAAUAAGAAGGUAGAAUCUAUUUUGGAUUAAGAAAAAGUUUUUGUAUUUGCUAAUCACAUAAAUCCGGCUUAUUAAUUUUAAAAUAUAUUAUAAAAAAAUUGUGACGGUGAGAUUUAUAUGAUUAAAAAAUUUUUGUAUUUGCUAAUCACAUAAAUCCGGCUUAUUAAUUUUAAAAUAUAUUAUAAAAAAAUUGUGACGGUGAGAUUUAUAUGAUUCUACGAAUAAAACUGGUAGAAAAUAUUUAUUUGGGAUUAAAAAAAUCAUAUACACGUGAAAGACAUAAUUUGUUUUGGAUUCAGAAAAAAAAUUAUAAAUAUGCAAGGUGAUAUCAGUUGCCUUGUAGAACAGAAGUUGAUUUUCGAAUCUAACGGUGCUUAUUUGUUCAAUAUAAGAUGCAACGGAUGAUAAACUUUUGGACCAGAGAACCAUGCGACCAAAUUAUCUCCCUUACGCUUAUUAUAUAUAAGUAUAUAAUAUGUCCAAUUUCUUUGAGAAAGAUGGUUGUAUAAUUUUUAGUUUAAAAUUUUAAUUAUUUUUAUUUUUAAUAUAAUUUACAACUAAAAAGUUUUAUUAUAUUUUGACUGCUUUGUAAUACAAUUAAAUAUAUCUUAAAUACACUUUUUCCUAUAUAUAUACGCUAACCUCGAGAGAUGUUGAAGAUCGUCCGAAACAAAAUUUGAAAGGGAAAAUGAAAAUGAGGAAUUGCAACCUCUGUUUUUUCACCAUCAGUAUGAUGCUCAUCUUCUUGAAGUUGCAGCACCACCUGGUGGCUUCUUCAUUAAGCCCCCACUUGCAGAAACUUGCCUUGUUUCACCUUAAGCAAAGCUUCACAAUCACUCCUCCUCGCUUCCCUUGCUCCUAUUAUUCCUACGAAGAUAAUGAGGGGUAUGAAAUUCCUUCUCGGCCAAAGACAAUGAGUUGGAGCAUGAGUACUGAUCACUGCACAUGGGAUGGAGUUAGCUGCGACAACAAGACAGGGGAUGUUAUCGGACUGGAUUUAAGUUGCAGUCAGCUGGAAGGAGCCAUUCUUCCUAACAGCACUCUCUUCCAACUCUCUCAUCUCCGCUUCCUCAAUCUUUCUCAUAACAACUUUUCCCUCUCCAGUCAGUUCCCUCCGGAAUUUGGUUUCUUUGCAAAAGGUCUGACGCAUCUCAACCUCUCUAAUAGUUAUUUAUCAGGGAGAGUUCCCUCUGGAAUCUCUCAUUUGUAUAAACUAGUCUCACUUGAUCUCAGUGACAAUGAUGGGACUAAACUUGAAGAAGAAGUAUUUAAAUCAAUGUUGCAGAAUUUAACGCAUCUCGGAGUGCUUAAUCUUAAUAACGUUAAUAUCUCCUCUAUUUUUCCCGUGAAUAUCUCUACUUCUUUAAGAGUUCUUCAAUUGUUGUAUACUGGUAUACACGGAGUAGUACCCCAAGAGGUUUUCCACCUUCCCAACUUGGAAUUACUUGAUUUAUUAUAUAAUUACGACCUGAGAGCUACAUUACCCAAAGUUAAGUGGGGAAGUAAAGCUACCCUCCAACACCUUCAUCUUUCAGAAAUCAACAUAGAUGGAGGUAUACCUGACUCAAUAGACUUUUUAAAGGACUCAUUAGUCAGUUUGUAUCUGGGCGGCUGUAAUUUGUCUGGGCCUAUACCAAGAUCCAUUGGGCACCUCGUUCAACUUACUCAGUUGGGCCUCCAUGAUAAUAAUCUCAAUGGCCCAAUUUUAACUUUUUUUACCAACCUUACAGACUUAAGAUAUAUCUACCUUGAAGGUAACAAUUUUACGGGUCCGUUUCCCUCUUUUCUUGCCCACUCCAGUAAACUAGUUGUGUUGCAUAUUGAGAGUAAUAGCUUUACUGGAUCCCUACCUCGUUCGUUGUUUCACCAUCCAUCCUUAGAGUACUUGUUUCUGGAACUUAAUGCAUUCACGGGUCCACUACAUGAAUUUGAUUCUUCUCGGUCCCGGCUGCAAUAUUUUUCUUGUUCCAGCAAUUUACUCAAUGGAUCCAUUCCACAUUCAUUUUCUCAACUUGUCAAUCGCACUGACCUAGAUUUUUCUUCAAACAAUUUCACCGGGGUUUUGGAUUUGGAAAUGUUUUCAGGUCUCGAAUUUCUAGAACGUCUUGAUCUUUCUGAUAACAGUCUUUCAGUGACAAGUACAAUCAGUGGCACCCUCCCUCCUACGCUUAUAUACUUGGGCUUGUCUUCUUGCAACAUGAAAGAGUUUCCUCGCUUUUGAACAGAUGCAAACAUCUUCCUGGAUUCUAUAGACCUGUCAAACAAUAAAAUUGACGGGGAAAUUCCACACUGGAUUGGGUCGCUGGGGGUGUCCUAUCUGAAUCUUUCUCACAACAAACUAAUAGGCGGUCUUGAGCAACUGCCUUGGGGUUAUAUUAAUUAUCUUGAUCUCCAAGACAAUAAGCUGAAUGGAUCGUUGCCCACCUUGAUGUGUAAUUCCAGCUCUCUUGAGAUUCUAAAUCUCUCUCACAACAAUUUGAGUGGUGUACUCCCCAUUUGUCAUACAAAUUUGACUCAGCUUUCGGUGUUGGAUCUGCGGAGGAAUAAAAUUCAAGGAAACAUUCCAGCAACCUUGUCAAAUUUCCAUAAUCUGGAAACCAUUAAUAUGAAUGGAAACCAAUUACAAGGAAGCAUUCCUUCUUCAUUUGCUGAAUUUGAUUCUUUAGCCGUUCUUGAUCUUGGAAAUAAUCAGAUAAAUGAUACAUUCCCCCGGUGUUUGGAAGCUCUUCCAAAUCUCCAAGUUCUUGUUCUCAAAUCUAACAAGUUUUGUGGUCUUAUAAACACGAGUUCUAAGAUUGUACACCCAUUUCCUAGCUUGAGAAUCAUUGAUCUGUCGGACAAUGAGUUUUCAGGUCCACUGCCAGCAAAAUACUUCAGAAACUUCAAGGCUAUAAUGAAUAGUGAUGUAAGCAAAAUAGAUCGUAGUUAUAUGAAUCAUAGUUUCUAUUACAGUGAUUCCACGGCUCUGGUGAUUAAAGGAGUAGUCAUAGAGUUGGUAAAGAUAUUAACUAUUUUUACAACCAUGGAUGUGUCAAGGAACCAGUUUGAAGGGGAGAUUGUAGAAUCAAUUGGAAAUCUGGUGUCACUUAGAUAUCUCAAUUUAUCACAUAAUCAUCUCAGAGGCCACAUACCACGGUCGAUUGGAAAAUUGACUGUGCUGGAGUCACUAGACCUCUCAUCCAAUGAACUUGAAGGAGAAAUUCCUCCGCAACUCACUGGUUUAUAUUCACUUGCAGUUCUAAAUCUUUCUUGCAACCAACUUAGAGGCCGUAUACCAGAAGGGUCACAAUUCAAUACGUUUGAAAUCUACAGCUACGCCGGGAACUUUGAAUUGUGUGGAAAACCCUUGUCAAAAAAGUGUGAAAAUUAUGUGAGGGUACACAAAGAAGACGAAGAAGAUGAGGAUGAAUAUUACUUUUUCAGUGGUUUUACAUGGGAAGCGGUGGUGAUUGGAUAUGGGUUUGGAGUGGUGCCUGCAUUUAUCGCCGGGUACUUGAUGUUGCUGGCACGGAAACCAAAAUGGUUUGCUGGAAUCAUUGGCAGGGAAUUGGGCCUCAAGAUCAGGAGGAUGGAGAUUAGAAUGCGAUAACUACAGGUUUGGUGUAAUCUGUAUCCCAUUCCCAGGUCUUGAAAAUUCUGUAAUAAUAUAGUAAUAUCUGCUCUCAUAUAAUUCUAUAUUUGCAGAUUCAGAUGGGACAAGCAGGAUUCAGAUGCAUUGCAUUGGAUUCAGAUGGGACAAGCAGGAUACAAGUUAUGUAGUAUUGUUUUGUUCCAGCUCUUAUCUGAUCUGCAAUCAAGUUAAUGAACCACUACCUCAGUUGUUAAGCAUCUUUCAGCAUUUUAAUUUUACAACUCACAAUAAAAGAUUACAUGUGUAUUAAUCUGAUCAUCAUUGGUUUAGAUCAAUAUAGAAGUUCGGCUUUGUUUAUUUCUAUCCCGGGCUCCUCAUUUUUAGAACAUAUUUGUUGAUACUUUUUAUGGAACGGUUAAGAAUAUUCCAUAGAUUUUUAUAUUCAGUGCUAGAUGAUUUUAUGUCCUGUUUUCAUUCCAAUUUCCGUUCAUGAACUAAUUAAAAAUCUGAAAGUGGGUCAUAUCUGGCAGUGAUGCCCACCUUUCUGGACCUGAAUUUCAUGACCACACAAACUCCAAUUCUGCCCAAAAAUUGCAGCUGUUUCGUAAAAUAUUUUUACGUGCUCUUUUGUUUGGACUUGUUUGCUGGACCAUGCAUAUGUUUUGAUACAAACAUCUUCGUGUAUGUUAACACUCUUGUGUCAGUUUCUGGACUCAUUGUUAGUAGCCCAUUCUUUACGGCAGACAUUGAAUUGGAUUUACUUGAAGAAAUGAAGGUUUAAGAAAGUUGAGAACAAUUUGUUGAUAAUUUCCUUCCCUAGAAACUGCACUCCAGCAUCAAAGUACCUUUCAAAGACUCCAGACAUCAUCUCUUGAUUAUCGAAGACUUGGUCUUGCAUAUACUGAUAUACAGUGAAUAUAGAUUUCUUUCAUUUCCUUGAAAUUGCAUUUUUGGAAGUAGCUCUCCAGACUCAUUCCCGUCACUUCUUAAAGUCUUAUUCCUCCUCAAUACUACAUACACGUAAUAUCACACCACUUUGCUCAUGCUCAGAUGGGUUUUUCUUACAAACCACAUAUGUUCACUUCUCAGAGUCUUAGUCCUCGUCAAUGUAUAGAGAUAAUAUCUCACCAUUUGCUAGUGCUACAAAUGGGCUUCUCCUACAACCACACAUAAUCGGAGAAAAGUCUGUCAAGUGUCAAGUGGACUUGAAAGACCCUUGUGCAUGGAUUAUUGUAUGUCAUGAAUGCCUUCUGAUAUCCCUGAAAGUGCAAGCAAGUUAUAAAAGUAGCUGGGCAGACUCUUUCUCAUCAAUACAUUCACAUUUAAAGCGGGCGUUGAUAUGCCUCCCUAAUUUUCUAAUGCCCUAGACGGAAUUCUAUUACAAUCCACAUAUGAUGGGUAGCGAUCAUCAAUUCAAAGAAGAGACUAUCAGCAGCUUGCAGGAAAUGUCCCCUCUGCAUGGAUUAUCGAAGAAAGGAACUUAUACCUAUAAAGAUGUAGAAAACCAAUGGUAAGCAUAACUGCAUAUAAGAUACAAAACUAAAUUUAAUACAAGACUCGUUCUGAGCAUUGGAAAAUAUAAUUCAUCCUGGUCUUCGUCUUCUACUUCUCCAAAUAUGCUUUUAUUGCAGCCAAUGUAUUAGUGAAAAGAAUUAAAUUUAAAUUAAUUGUAGACCGCAAAUAUAAGAUUAGGAGAGUUUCUACAACCCACAAAUUAGUAGACAGACUAAUAUGGUUAGUUGAGACCAUCAAUCUGGAGAAACUGUUUCUACAAUGACCCAUAUGUAUGAAUUAUUGAAGAAAGAAACUUAUACCUACAAUGUAAAGGAAAUGGUCACGAGUAUAUUGCAUUUUUAAUCCAAAUUGUAUAUGAUUCUCUCUGUGCUACUGAUAGUUAAUAAUAAAUCUACAACGGAACUUGCAGUUAAUCAAGGUAUUUAAGUCUACCUUUCUACAUUGUUGAAUAGUUUGAAUUAAAUAAUUGUAAUAAAUUUUUUGCUGGAUGCUGUGUGAGUUUACCAGAGCUUAUCACGGUGAGAAGUUCACUAAAGCUCUUGGAAUUAGUAAAUAAAAACUCAGGGCAGUGAAUUAGAAGUCUGAGUACAAGGCAAUGAGCAGGAAACAACAUAGGGAGUUUACAACUAGAAGUAUCUAUUCUCCCCCAGUCUUUUUGUGAACAUCAAGAGGCCAUUCAUAUUGCUCACAAACCAGUUAAAAGUGGCAGGACUACACAUAAUGAAUCACACAGUCACUUUAUGUGAGAAAAGAAAAUUGUCAGGACUGCAAUGCAUUUCUAGCCCAUUUUGUACAGCAGCUCAAACGUUUAAAAAACUUCAUUAAUUAUUUUCUUUUAUUGAAACCACACUCAUCCAUCAAAGUAGCUCUCAAAGUCUAAUUUCCAUCACCUUCUGAUUCUCAAAGUCUUCUUCUUCGUCUUAUAUUGCACGCCACAUAUUAGUAGACAUACUACAUCAACUCUGUAGAAAGAAACAAUCUAUAGUAGUUGAUGUACAAUGUUAUUAUGUAAAUGUAUAAUAUCAAAAUUAGGAAUAGAAAUCACGCCCUAAUAAUUAACCCUCUGCAGGGGUUAUUAAAGAAAGCAGCUUAUAACUUUAGUUGCUGAACAUUUGUGUGGGCCAAAUUCAAUUUUACACAUCAUUACUAGAUUUACACAUGGUAUUAGACAUCAGUACUAGUAUAAGAUGUUAAUCAAGUUUUGGAAUUUCUUUUAUUUCAGAAAACAAGUUUUUAACUCUCUUUUUUUUUUGUGGUAUUAAUUAUUUAUAUCACGCAUUUGAGCUUUAAAAUUAGCUCUAAAUAAAAGUUGAUUUUCGCUCAAAGAAACAAUGAUGUAUAAGAAGAUUUUCAGAACUGAAUUAUUUCUUUCCAUUUUUACAGUUCCAUUCAAGAACCGAAAGCAGCUCACAAAGACUCACUACAUCAUCUUUCAAUUCUCAUAGUGUUGGUCUUUGUCUUCUGCUGCUCAAAAAUUCUAUUACAGCCCACAUAUCAGUAUCAUAUACCUAAUUAUAAAUAGUAUUUAACACUUAACACCAUUAAAGAUUUGUCUCAGAGACUUACUUCCAUCACCUUAUGGUUCUCAAACUCUUCGUCUUCUAAUGCUCCAAAAGUUCUAUUAGUGCAGGCCACAUAUUGGUAAACAGACUACAAUUCAUCCAAAAUGACCCUCUUAUUGGACACUUUGAACACCUCUGUCUGUAUAUGCAUUGGAGAAGAAUUAUCAGCUCGUUAAAAUAACCUCUUCGCAUCAACUCUAUGGAAAGAAGCAAUUCAUACCUAAAGUACAAUGUUUGGAUAAAAUUAGGGAUAGCAACCGCACGCUAAUUUUUUAGUUGAAGCAGGCUACCUUAGUGUAAUUAACUGAACAUCCCCGUAAUUUCUUGACAGGCCACAAUUAAGGAAGUUUACAGAAUUACAUUCCAGAAGUAGCUCCCUGAGACAGAUUCGCAUCAUCUUUCAAUCUUCAAAGUUCUUUAUACUUAUAUUAUAUUUCAUGUUUUAUUGUAAUGAACAUAGCAGUUUCCUGUUCAGUAAUAUUCCAGGCUCAGGUUCUUCAUUCCAAGUCUCUGUUACAUGUUUGCUACUAAAACGUAUUAAACAGUUAUUAGUUUAUGACUGUAUUCCAUCUUGAAAGGAGAUCUCAAAGACUCAUUCCCAUAAUCUUCAGAAUCUCAAGUCUUGAUGAACUUGGCCUUCAUCAUAUUUGUACUCUUGUAAUUCCAUAUUAAUCAAGUUUAAAUAUUAAAAUUUUUAAUUUUAGUAAAUUUGUAAAAAUAGUAAAAUUUGUCUUAUUUAUAAUAUUUAUAAAUCUCUUACUUUCCUGUUACUGUAUUCAACUUAAUAAUUUUUACAAACACUGUGCAUCACAUAAGUUAUGUAAAUUUAGAACAAAUUAUGUCCAAUUUAUUUAAGAGAGAUUGUUAUAUUGUUUUUACUUUAAAAUUAAUGGUAUCUUUUAUUUUUAAUAUAAUUUACAGCUAAAAAUAUUUGAUAUAUUUUCACACUGCUUCUUAUUUUUGUAAUAUGACUAAACAUAUCUUAAAUACACUUUUUUCCUAUAUAUAUGCUAGCCUCUCGAGAUGUUGAAUAGAUCAUCCCAAACAAAAAAAUUUAAGGGAAAUAGAAAAUGAGGAAUUCCAUCCUCUGUUUUUCCACCAUCAGUUUGUUGCUCAUCUUCCUGCAGUUGCAGCACAACCUAGUGGCUUCUUCAUUAAGUCCCCACUUGCAGAAACUUGCCUUGUUCCACUUUAACCAAACCUUAACAAUCAGUACUACUAGCUGGGAUUGCGAGUACUAUUCCUACGAUGGAUAUUACGAAAUUCCUUCACGGGCAAAGACAAAGAAUUGGAGCAUGAGUUCCGAUCACUGCACAUGGGAGGGAGUUAGCUGCGACGACAAGACAGGGGACGUUAUCGGACUGGAUUUAAGUUGCAGUCAGCUGGAAGGAGCCAUUCUUUCUAACAGCACCCUCUUCCAGCUCUCUCAACUCCGCUUCCUCAAUCUUUCUCACAACGGCUUUUACAAUCAGUUCCCUCAGGAAUUUGGUUUCUUUGCAAAAGGUUUGACGCAUCUCAAUCUCUCUCGUACUGGAUUAUCAGGGAGAGUUCCCUCUGGAAUCUCUCAUUUGUAUAAACUGGUCUCACUUGAUCUCGGUCGCAACUAUAGGGCUUGGGCUAAACUUGAAGAAGAAGUGUUUAAAUCACUGUUGCAGAAUUUAACUCAUCUUGAAGUGCUUAAUCUUGAAGGGGUUAGCAUCUCCUCUGUUUUGCCCCUGAAUAUCUCUACUUCUUUAAGAUUUCUUGCUCUUGCGGGAACUGAAAUACACGGAGUAGUACCUCAAGAGGUUUUCCACCUUCCCAACUUGGAAUUUCUUCGUUUAUCAUAUAAUGACCACCUGAGAGUAACAUUACCCAAAGUUAAGUGGGGAAGUAGUGCUACUCUCCAACACCUUCAACUUUCAGGCGUCAACAUAGAUGGAGGUAUGCCUGACUCAAUAGGCUUUUUGGAGUCAUUAGUCAGUUUACAUCUGAUCCAGUGUAAUUUGUCUGGGCCGAUACCAAAAUUCAUUGGGCAACUCGUUCAACUUACUCACUUGGGCCUGGCUGCUAAUAAUCUCAGUGGCCCAAUUCUAACUUUUUUAACACGCCUUGCAGACUUCAGAUCUAUCUUCCCUUGAGCAUAACAAUUUUACUGGUCCGUUUCCCUCUUUUCUUGCCCACUCCAGUAAACUAGUUGAGUUGUAUCUUCAUAAUAAUAGCUUUACUGGAUCCCUACCUCGUUCGUUGUUUCACCAUCCAUCCUUAGAGAUCUUGAAUCUGGCAUAUAAUGCAUUCACGGGUCCACUACAUGAAUUUCAUUCUUCUUUGUCACGAUUGCGAUCUUUUUAUUGUUCCAGCAAUUUACUCAAUGGAUCCAUUCCACAUUCAUUUUCUCAACUUGUGAAUCUCACUGAACUAGAUCUUUCAUCAAACAAUUUCACCGGGGUUUUGGAUUUGGAAAUGUUUUCAGGCCUCAAAUCUCUAGGAAUUCUUCAUCUUUCUUAUAAUAGUCUUUCAGUGAGAACUACAACUAUGGCCACUCUCCCUCCUACGCUUAACGACUUGGCCUUGUCAUCUUGCAACAUGAAAGAGUUUCCUCACUUUUCAAGAGAUGCAAACAUCUUCCUCGAUUUUGUAGACCUAUCAAACAACAAAAUUGAAGGGGAAAUUCCACACUGGAUUGGGUCGGUGGGGAGGUACCCUUUCUAUCCAAUCCAUUAUCUGAAUCUUUCUCACAACGGACUAAUAUGCGGUCUUGAGCAACUGCCUUGGAGUCAUGUUGAAUUUCUUGAUCUCCAAUACAAUAAGCUGAAUGGAUCAUUGCCCACCUUGAUGUGUAAUUCCAGCUCUCUCCGGGUUCUAAAUCUCUCUCACAACAAGUUGAGUGGUGUACUCCCCAUUUGCCAUACAAAUUUGACUUCGCUUCGCGUGUUGGAUCUGCGGAGGAAUAAAAUUCAAGGAAACAUUCCAGCAACCUUGUCAAAUUUCCGUAACCUGGAAACUGUUAAUUUGAAUGGAAACCGAUUAGAAGGAAGCAUUCCUUCUUCUUUUGCUGGAUUUGAUUCUUUAGCCGUUCUUGAUCUUGGAAAUAAUCAGAUAAAUGAUACAUUCCCCCAGUGUUUGGAAGCUCUUCCCAAUCUCCAAGUUCUUGUUCUCAAAUCAAACAAGUUUUAUGGUCUUAUAAACACGAGUUCGAAGAUUGUACACCCAUUUCCAAGCUUGAGAAUCAUUGAUCUGUCGAAAAAUGAGUUUUCAGGUCCACUGCCAGCAAAAUACUUCAGAAACUUCAAGGCUAUGAUGGAUAGUGAUGUAAGCAAAAUAGAUCGUAGUUAUAUGAAUUAUGGUUCCUAUUACAGUGAUUCCACGACUCUGGUGAUUAAAGGAGUAGACAUGGAGUUGGUAAAGAUAUUAACUAUUUUUACAACCAUGGAUGUAUCAAGGAACCAUUUUGAAGGGGAGAUUGUAGAAUCAAUCGGAAAUCUAGUGUCACUUAGAGAUCUCAAUUUAUCUUACAAUCAUCUCACAGGCCACAUACCACGCUCGAUUGGAAAAUUGACUGUGUUGGAGUCACUAGACCUCUCAUCCAAUGAACUUGAAGGAGAAAUUCCUUCGCAACUCACUGGUUUAUAUUCACUUGCAGUUCUAAAUCUGUCUUGCAACCAACUCAGCGGUCAUAUUCCACAAGGUUCUCAGUUUAAUACAUUUGAUGCUGAUAGCUAUGGUGGUAACUUCGGGCUGUGUGGAAAUCCAUUGUCCAAAACGUGUGAACAAGAUAUUGUGGAGCAAGAAGACGAAGAAGAUGAGGAUGAAUGUCACUUUUUCUGUGGUUUUACUUGGGAAGCGGUGGUGAUUGGAUAUGGGUGUGGAGUAGUGCCUGCAUUUAUCAGUGGGUACCUGAUGUUGCUGGCACGGAAACCAAAAUGGUUUGCUGGAAUCAUUGGCAGGGAAUUGGGGCUCAAGAUCAGGAGGAUGGAAAUUAGAAUGCGAUACUAAAGGUUUGCUGUAAUCUGUAUCACAUUCCCAGGUCUUGAAUAUUCUGUAAUAAUAUAGUAAUAUCUGCUAUCAUAUAAUUCUAUAUUUGCAGAUUGGAGAGGCAUGAACAUUUUGGCAUGUAAGUUGAUGGGACAAGCAGAUUCAGAUGCACUGGAAUCAACCACUACUUCAGCUGUUUUGCAUCCUUUGUCAUUUUAAAUUUUACAUUUUAUAAUAAAAGUCAAAAAGAUACAAGUUCCAUGGACAAGUUCUGUAUUGUGUAGUUCCAGGGCUCCUUUCAAUUUCUAACCACCCUGGACAACUUCUUUACAAAACUAACCACCCUUUUUUUCACUUCACAAAACUGACCACCCUAAAUCCUUGGCGAACAUUACAUGAAAUCCCUUAUAUGUUCGCCCCUGUCAAGGGCGAACAUUACUAAAAAAAUUUAUAUGUUCGCCCCUCCCAAGGGUGAAGAUAUAAGGGCUUUAAACUUCCCAUUUACCUCGUAUCAUUUGCACAUAUAAUGAGUUUAUUUCAUUUUUAAAAAAAUGUAGAUAUAAAAAAUACUGAAAAUUCGUUUAUUUGAUUUAAAAAAAAUGUACCUAUAAUUGGUUGUUUUGUAAAUAUUGAAAUAAUAUUAUUUUAUUGAUUAAAAAUGUCAUGAGUUGAAGUGAUAAUUGAGUAAAUUUAUUUUAGUUUAAUUGGCAUAAUGAGUUGAAGUGAUAAUUGAGCAAUUUUAUUCAUAGAGAAUAUUAAAACAACGAUAAUACGACUUAAACUGAAAAGGAGAAAACAAUCACGACGAAAAUACAGACCACUUAAUUUUCCAACCAAAUAUUAGAAAAUUUUAAAAUUUCAUUGACCGCAUAGACACAAUAUUUAUUUUUAAAAUUUUAUUUUUGCAAAUAAAAAUUUAAAUAUGAAAUUUUCGUUGACAAAAGAAAAAAUUAAAAAAUAAAUUUCGGAACUUGACGGUCAAUGCACCUUAAAUUACGUGCCGAAAGUCUAACUGGCUCAUCUAAUUUGAGAAGGAGGGAGUAGUAGGCUUGCAAAAUUUCGUAUUAGCAUUAAAUAUUAAAAAUUCAUCGUAUUAAACUACUCAUAAAUACGAAUCUAACAAGAUCACUCAAGACUAUAUUUAGUCUUAUUGACAUCAUAAACAUGAAAAAAAAAAAAAACGAGGCAAUAUAUUUUAGAUAAUAUAAAUAUAAANCGAGGCAAUAUAUUUUAGAUAAUAUAAAUAUAAACAGAUAUAAGGUUUUGAGAGCAAGACACAAAAAAUAUGUUUCCCUUGGUCUCAAGUCUCAACUGCAAGACACCAUAAAAUGAUAGAAAUAGAUGUGUGGGGUAGGUAAGCCUCAGUCAGCUAGCCAACAACUAUGUUCGCCCUUACGGGGGGCGAACAUAGUGGUGUUUUUGUGUGGUGUUCGCCCUUGCCAAAGGCUCAAAUCAAUUAUUUCAGCAGCCAUGUUCGCCCCUGAUGUAUAUGAAUUAAGGUGGUUAGCUUUGUGAAUUGAAAAUUUGGGUGGUUAGUUUUGUAAAGAUUGUGUUUAAAGUGGUUAGUAAAUUGACGGAGCCUAGUUCCAGCCUCAGGCUGUUCCUUACUAAAACAUGUUUUCUGAUGCUUUAUAAUGUACAAUUUACAAUAUAUCAAAGUUUGUAAUAUACAGUACCAGAUGAUUUUAUGGCCUGAUUAUCCUUAAUCGCUUUCAUGAACUAAUGGAAAUUUGUAAAAGCGGGUUACAUUUGCAGCGAUGCCGCUAUUUUUCCUGAAUUUCCCUAGUUGUGAAGAUUGUCUAAAUCAUGUUAGAGUCGCUGCCAUCAGUGAAUGCAUUCAACGGCUUACGGAAAUUAGUAGAGAUACUAAAGUUGUUUGUUGAUAGAAUAGAAGAUGACAGAGUGUCCAUGCGUCAUUUUAAGGAUCGAGAUGUGUAGCUGUGACUUGUAUUUAUAAAAUUUCACAAGAUGCUUUACAAUGGUAGCAGAGGAGGGCUGGGGAUCCACAAGAUGUGAAUUUGUGUUAUUAGAAACGAAUUUUGUUGUAGGGGGAUUUAUUGAAUUAGUUCGAAGCACUCAAGUAGAAUUGGUUGUAGCAGAGCAAGAAGCUGAGCACGACCAUAAGAAUUUGAACUCUUGAGGCAAAUUUUAUCUCUAAUUGUAAGCCUUCCACUAGACAGCAAGGUUAGAAGAAAGAUUGAGUCGAUGUGUGGAUAUAAAAUUAGGAAUACUAUUACCUCUGACGCCCAUGACAUAUCGAUGAGGCAUGAAAGUUGGGAACAGGGGACGAUUGGCGUAUUGGAAUGGAAGUAGAAAACUUCUUCAGAGCUUGAUGCUCUCGAAGAUACAAUCUGAUGAGAAAGCAUAACGAUGAUCAUGACUCUGCCCUUACUCUAAAUCAGUAAGAUCAACCUCUCUACACAAUUCACUAAUACCACCUCUUUAUAACAUUUUCACUCCUAGGUGAUGAAUAAAGUAUCAUGAAACAUAUUUUGUAUAAUGAAUUAUAUUUUUUAUUAUAUUCCUUUUUUAAAAUAUAUUGCAUAUUACACUGCUUUUUAAUUCUAUUUGAAGCAUUUAAUUAAUUUUUAGCUGUAAUUUAACUUUCAAGGUAGCAUUAUCAGCAUGAGGAAUAGGCAGAGCUUCCAGAUGCUCUCUUCUGAUAGAUAUCAUUCAGCACUUGCUCUGAGUUUGUUGAUCAACCAGGCGACUUUCAACAUUUCACAUUUUUAAGCAUUUAAUUAAUUAAUCAUCAGUCUUGUAUUUAGCUUGAUCGAAAAUAAUUGCUCUCUUCGAUUUAUUUGCCUACUUGUCGACGUGUUUAUGUAGCGUGUCUCUACUCUGUAGCUUACACAUCAUUGAUUCAUAUUAUUUUCUCCUUAGGAACUUGAGAGACAUUUGGCAUCAAAAGAAGCUUCUCUCCC
rnacentral:lncRNA from 1 species